UACGGGGGGGGCAAGCGUUGUUCGGAAUUACUGGGCGUAAAGGGCUCGUAGGCGGCCAACUAAGUCGGAUGUGAAAGCCCUUGGCUCAACCUGAGGAAGUGCACCCGAAACUGAGUGGCUUGAGUACUAAAGAGGGUCGCGGGAAUUCCCGGUGUAGAGGUGAAAUUCGUAGAUAAUUGGGAGGAACACCAGUGGCGAAGGCGGACUCACUGGACCCGGUACUGACG
rnacentral:rRNA from 1 species